rnacentral:rRNA from 1 species
UUUAUGGAGAGUUUGAUCCUGGCUCAGGAUGAACGCUGGCGGCGUGCCUAAUACAUGCAAGUCGAGCGAACAGACAAGGAGCUUGCUCCUUUGACGUUAGCGGCGGACGGGUGAGUAACACGUGGGUAACCUACCUAUAAGACUGGGAUAACUUCGGGAAACCGGAGCUAAUACCGGAUAAUAUUUCGAACCGCAUGGUUCGAUAGUGAAAGAUGGUUUUGCUAUCACUUAUAGAUGGACCCGCGCCGUAUUAGCUAGUUGGUAAGGUAACGGCUUACCAAGGCGACGAUACGUAGCCGACCUGAGAGGGUGAUCGGCCACACUGGAACUGAGACACGGUCCAGACUCCUACGGGAGGCAGCAGUAGGGAAUCUUCCGCAAUGGGCGAAAGCCUGACGGAGCAACGCCGCGUGAGUGAUGAAGGUCUUCGGAUUGUAAAACUCUGUUAUUAGGGAAGAACAUACGUGUAAGUAACUAUGCACGUCUUGACGGUACCUAAUCAGAAAGCCACGGCUAACUACGUGCCAGCAGCCGCGGUAAUACGUAGGUGGCAAGCGUUAUCCGGAAUUAUUGGGCGUAAAGCGCGCGUAGGCGGUUUUUUAAGUCUGAUGUGAAAGCCCACGGCUCAACCGUGGAGGGUCAUUGGAAACUGGAAAACUUGAGUGCAGAAGAGGAAAGUGGAAUUCCAUGUGUAGCGGUGAAAUGCGCAGAGAUAUGGAGGAACACCAGUGGCGAAGGCGACUUUCUGGUCUGUAACUGACGCUGAUGUGCGAAAGCGUGGGGAUCAAACAGGAUUAGAUACCCUGGUAGUCCACGCCGUAAACGAUGAGUGCUAAGUGUUAGGGGGUUUCCGCCCCUUAGUGCUGCAGCUAACGCAUUAAGCACUCCGCCUGGGGAGUACGACCGCAAGGUUGAAACUCAAAGGAAUUGACGGGGACCCGCACAAGCGGUGGAGCAUGUGGUUUAAUUCGAAGCAACGCGAAGAACCUUACCAAAUCUUGACAUCCUUUGACAACUCUAGAGAUAGAGCCUUCCCCUUCGGGGGACAAAGUGACAGGUGGUGCAUGGUUGUCGUCAGCUCGUGUCGUGAGAUGUUGGGUUAAGUCCCGCAACGAGCGCAACCCUUAAGCUUAGUUGCCAUCAUUAAGUUGGGCACUCUAAGUUGACUGCCGGUGACAAACCGGAGGAAGGUGGGGAUGACGUCAAAUCAUCAUGCCCCUUAUGAUUUGGGCUACACACGUGCUACAAUGGACAAUACAAAGGGCAGCGAAACCGCGAGGUCAAGCAAAUCCCAUAAAGUUGUUCUCAGUUCGGAUUGUAGUCUGCAACUCGACUACAUGAAGCUGGAAUCGCUAGUAAUCGUAGAUCAGCAUGCUACGGUGAAUACGUUCCCGGGUCUUGUACACACCGCCCGUCACACCACGAGAGUUUGUAACACCCGAAGCCGGUGGAGUAACCAUUUGGAGCUAGCCGUCGAAGGUGGGACAAAUGAUUGGGGUGAAGUCGUAACAAGGUAGCCGUAUCGGAAGGUGCGGCUGGAUCACCUCCUUU